rnacentral:tRNA from 1 species
GCGCCCAUAGUUUAACGGAUAAAACAUCAGGUUCCGGACCUGAAGAUUGAGGGUUCAAUUCCCCCUGGGCGCA